UUGGUCUCUCCGACAUCACCACACUUGAGAUCUCCAACCCCCUCUUCCUUUCUAUUUAUAAAAACUUUAAAAGGGCGGUUGUCGAUGCAUAUGUCUAUAAUAAAUAUUGCAGAUCUCGUUGAGUUGAUCUAGAUAUAGGUUGGCGUCGGAGGGGAAACCACUUCGCCAACAUAAACUGAUGGUUUCCCAAGGACAAGCUUAGUGUCUUAAAAUAAGCAUUGAUCAGAUCGUAACAUGAGUCUUUAAUUAUUUGCAACAUUACCUUGUGUAUUGAGCAUAUAAGGAUAAUUGUAAAAAAAAUAUUCCUUCGGGUAUUCUUGUCACUAACCUUUCUAAGAUUGGAGCAAG
rnacentral:lncRNA from 1 species